CACGUACGCGUAUAUAUAUAUACAUAUGCACAUAAUUUCCAUAUUUUAACUUGCAUGUUAAGUGUGUCUAUGUGUAUGUGUAUAUAUAUAGAUUAGAAAUUUGGUCGUUGCAGUGGGAAGGAAGUAGAGUGACGACAAAUAAUUCCCUUGCAGGGAAGCGUCACAAAACCGAUCGUCGCGUCGUCGUCACAACACCGAUACUCUCUACAGAGAGUAUCCAGGGAUAUCCACGGAAUUUGAAUUUUCAAUUAAACGCGAGAACAACCCACCUCCCAAACCCUUUCCCUCUUUCCCUCAUACCUAUCACCCAAACGCUGCAACAUUUUAGCCGGACUUUUUAACCCGGUUGAAAAAUACUCGUUGUUAUUAAGGAUUAAUGAUCGAGUCAUCGUCGUUGUCGUUGGUAUUAAUUUGUUAAUCCGAAGGAAGAUAUUUGAAAUUAGAAGAGAAAUUAGAAGCCAAAGUUCAAUAUAGCCUAUCGACCAGGCACGAUCGAAUAGAGUUUCAUGAAGGAAUUUGAGUUAAAGCGACAAAUUGGUUAUCUCGUAAGAGUAUGUGUGUCCUCUGAUAUAUCCCACAUACUUGUAUUUGUAAGACGUAAAAACUGGUAUUCACUCCACGGUAUGGGCCAUUGCACCUAAACACAUUUUCAAUGGAAAAAAUAUUGUCAGAAUUGCAUGCCUUACUGCAGCAUGCAUAUUUAAUGAAGGUUUUCAAACAAUUUUAAAAAUUAUGGAGAUAAUGGGCAUUACAAUCGGAAAAAUUGCUGCUCAGUAUGCUAGCAAACGAGACAACGAGCGCGUUGUCAAAGAAAAUCGCCGCUCGUCUGAAGCUUCUAAAAAGAGAUGAACAAAAAAAAGACAAGCUAGACUUGAAGAACAUUAUCUUCUAGAGCAGUCAGAAGGCAUAGUAUAUCGUGCAGGUAUCGCCGAUUAAGCAUAAUUCGAUGUUAAGAUUUUUACAACACCGCAAAGGCUAGUCUAUUUUUAGGAUUUCCGUUCAAAGGCCUCUCCAAUGUAUAUAGAGC